ensembl:snoRNA Gm25632 predicted gene, 25632
UCACUACCGGUCUCAGUGAUGUGCUUCCAAUAGAUCCUUCUGACCCUCCACUGUGGACUCAAAAGCAGGGAGAUGAAGAGGACAGUGACUGAGAGA